rnacentral:lncRNA from 1 species
GGGUGGCCUCGGGAGGUCCUGAGGCUAAGGGCACAGGAGACAUUUGGAGAGGUAGGGUUGUCUGGGCGAGCAGGAAUGCUUCAUAAACUGGAGCUCAAGGUCUCUGCGCCACUGGAUUCUGCCUUUCGGAAUAAGGAUGAUGUCACCCAGACGCCCACAGCUCUGACAUGGAAGUGUGGGCCUUCUGCAGACUCAGACCAUCAGAGUGACACACCAAUCAGGCAGCAGAGGACGCCGUCCUCACCCAGGAUCCCAAGGUUGCAAGCAUUCCUCAGGCAGUCCCAUGUCCUGCCAGGGUUGAGAGUCACCAUUAAAUAUCUGAACCUUCUGAGAGAAGGUCAGCCUGGCACUAUUGUCCAUGAGUGUUCCUGGAUCACGCGCUCAGGGCCUGAGGCUGGUGAUGAUCAGAUGGCCACAGGGAGAAACGGGUAAGAAGAGAGAGAAAUGAUUUACAUGGGAUCGUCCAUCUGAGCUCGGCAGAGUGUCGUUGGUCCACUGGCUCUCUAGUCUCCAUGCCAAGAUGAGGUCUGACUCUAUAAAUAUCACAAUGCGAAGCCUAA